UUCUAUGAUUUAUGGUAAAGGCAAGGCACCAAUGUACGGUUGACGGCGGAGCUGAGGACAGCAUGGAAGUUGGAGAUGAGAUAU